CUUAAAAAUAUGCCAGGUCAUUGAGUGAGAGUCGGAUGGGAAUGCGGGAAAACCAGUUAGGAAGUCACCCGCGGUGAUCCUGCAUUGAGAUGUGAAGUGCAAGAAGGUUGCAUUGGCGGGGGAAGGAAGAACUACAUCCGAAAGUUAAAAGAUGACACCACAGAAAUUGCUGCGGGGGAGGGGAAUGACACCUAAUUACAGUCCGUCAACCAGAAACCACAAUUACUUCUGCUUCUCUCUUUACCUUACUGUUCAUAAAGAAGAGAUUUUUCACAUAGCUGCAACAGAGCUGUCAUUUUCUAUUUUACCCUUUUCAGGUAAUGUUAUGUAAACAUUGGCCCUUGUCGCACAGACCUUCAGGAUCAUCAUUUUAAAUUACUGCAUUAUGCUUACAACAUAAACUAUCCUGUUGCUAUGCUUGUAGGUUGUUCUGUUGACUGUAGGAUGUUGGCUGCUCUCAUUUCUGAUUGUCAGUCUUUGUCCUCCAUCAGAGAAAGUUCUCACUGGGCAAAAUGAGGAAACUUAUGAGGGAAAGUGGCUGCCAACCAUUGCCUUACAGGAAAACUUAUUUUCUUUUUAAGAGUUGGCGUCAUUUCCCCAAAUAGUCUUUUGAUAUUUUAUCCCACUUGAAUCAUCACAGCAUUUUUUUAAUGUUGUUGGGUAUACAUUUUAAAAGACAAGGACUUUCCAGGAGUCUGACAGAAGGGGGAUUCAGAGUUGUAUUAUGAGACAUUUUCAGAUUUUCAUCAAGCAAGUUUGUGUUAAAUUGCCACUGUUAACUGUCUUCUGAAUGACUCAGAACAUGUUACUUAACCUCAGUCUCAGUUUUCUCAUCAGAAAGAUGGGGAUAAUAAUAGUACAUAGUUCAUAAAUAAGUUGUGAGAAUUAAAUGAGAUCAUAUUUGCAACGUGAGUGCUUCAAAUGCCUGAACGUAAUACUCAGUAAGUAUUUACUUUAAAUAGUAUCGUGUUUUUGCUAUUAAAGAGAGAGCAGUGGCUCGAUGCUAAUAACUGGCAACAUCUGCCAUGGCUACCAAAGCUGAAAUGGUAGAAGUGUUUCCUUACAAACUUUCCGCACUCUUUGAAAGCCAACUCCAUGUGUUAAAUCUUCUUAAUCAAAUCAGUAGUUUCACAGAGAAAAUUGAUAAAGCUGAAAAUAGGUACAUAAUGUCAUCUGAUCUUUUUUAAAGGUUUUUGUCUUAGUUUAUUUUUUGGUUGUACUGGGUCUUUGUUGCUGCAUGCAGGCUUUCUAUAGUUGUGGACAGCGGGGGCUACUUUUCACUGUGGCGCACAGGCUGCUCUGGCAGAGCACAGACUCUAGGCACACCGGCUCAGUAGUUUCAACUCAUGGGUUCCAGAGCACAGGUUCUCAGUACUUGUGACACACAGGCUUUGUUGCUCCUCAGUAUGUGAAAUCUUCCCAGACCAGGGAUCGAACUCGUGUUCCCUGCACUGGCAGGCAGAUUUUUAUCCACUGUACCACCAGGGAAGUCCAGAUCUUUCAAACAGCUUUACCUUUAGAAAGUUGGACCUAUCUGGGGUAAAGACUGAAGGUGGGAGAGAAGAUGAUCAAGAAGCUGUUACAUUUCAUUUCAGACUCCUCUGCACUACUUUGUCACUGUGCACACAUAUUGCUUACUUUUUCAUCAUAAUUUUGUGUAGCCUGAAUGCUUGCUUUGAGUCAGACAGUUUGAUGGUUCUUCAAACUGAAAACUAGUAGUAAGUCCCAGAUGUGAUUCUGGUGUAAAACACACUAGCAUUUUGCUUUUUCAUUUUUCUGUCUUAGGUAUUAUUUUCAACUACUGCUAUUUAUUCAUCCAUGCAACAUAUAUUCGUUAAGUGGCUAUGAUGUGUCGGGCACUGCUCUUGUUGAUUAAGACAUUCCUCAACAGGCAAAUAAAGUUUGAAACACAUUGUGUGCCAACUACACAGAAUGGAUUUUUGUUAAAGACUUCUGUAAUUGUUGGUCCUUGCACUUGUUGCUACUGAAUCUUGAGAUGAUCUGACAGAAUAUAGCUUUUUUGCAACAAAGCUGGACCUAAAACAUUCUAUUUCAGACUCCAGAGUCUUGCACAUGUGAAAUAGAGGUAGGAUUGACUUUGGGCCCUGUGAUGAGGGAAAUUCUUCCACAACACUACUUUUCUGGAGUUCUGCCCAAAGAUAAUGUUAUAUCAAAGGGCCCUGUGGGUGCACUUUGCUGGAGAAAUUAUUUGAUUCAAAUCAAUUCAAUUCGAAAUCAAGUAUUGAGUGCCUACUAUUGAAGCACUGGGGUAGGAAUGGGUGUGCAUGCUAAGUCGCUUCAGUUGUGUCCAACUCUUCGUGACCCUGUGGACUGUAGCCCACCAGGCUCCUCUGUCCUUGGGAUUUUCCAGGCAGGAAUAAUGGAGUGGCUUGCCAUGUCCUCCUCCAGGGGAUCUUCCCGAUGGGCCAACCUUGGA
ensembl:lncRNA